rnacentral:tRNA from 1 species
GGUUUUGGCUCAGUGGUAGAGUGCUUGCCUAGCAUGCAUGAGGCACUGGGUUCGAUCCCUGGCACCA